rnacentral:rRNA from 1 species
GUGUCAGCAGCCGCGGUAAUACAGAGGUCUCAAGCGUUGUUCGGAAUUAUUGGGCGUAAAGGGUGCGUAGGCGGCAGGAUAAGUUAGAUGUGAAAUGUCGACGCUUAACGUCGAACCUGCAUUUAAGACUGUCUUGCUUGAGCGCUAGAGAGGAGUCUGGAAUUUACGGUGUAGCAGUGAAAUGCGUAGAUAUCGUAAGGAAGGCCAGUGGCGAAAGCGAGACUCUGGCUAGAUGCUGACGCUGAGGCACGAAAGCUGGGGGAGCAAACGGGAUUAGAUACCCCUGUAGUCC